AUUCUGCCCAAGCGGGGAAGGAUGAGAAGCUUCGACCAAGGUUCGACUCGAGCGCCAGCGAGAGAGCGUUGCCGCAGGCAACGACCCGAAGGGCGAAGCGCGCAGCGCUG
rnacentral:sRNA from 1 species